GACGAACGCUGGCGGCGUGCUUAACACAUGCAAGUCGAACGGAAAGGCCCUGCUUUUGUGGGGUGCUCGAGUGGCGAACGGGUGAGUAACACGUGAGUAACCUGCCCUUGACUUUGGGAUAACUUCAGGAAACUGGGGCUAAUACCGGAUAGGAGCUCCUGCUGCAUGGUGGGGGUUGGAAAGUUUCGGCGGUUGGGGAUGGACUCGCGGCUUAUCAGCUUGUUGGUGGGGUAGUGGCUUACCAAGGCUUUGACGGGUAGCCGGCCUGAGAGGGUGACCGGCACCAUUGGGACGGAGAAACGGCCCAGACCCCUACGGGGGGCAGCGGGGGGGAAUAUUGCACAAGGGGCGGAAGCCGGAUGCAGAAACGCCGGGGGGGGGAGGACGGCCUUCGGGUUGUAAACCGCUUUCGCCUGUGACGAAGCGUGAGUGACGGUAAUGGGUAAAGAAGCACCGGCUAACUACGU
rnacentral:rRNA from 1 species